AAGACUAUAGACCUGCGGAGUACCUGCGGAAGGAUCAUUAACGUAUCUAUGAUGGGGUGCGGAGCGCCCUGCUCCGGUCGAACGGCCGUGCAGCGGGUGCGCCGCCCCCGUCCCACCUCACAAACCCACUGUGAACAUUCACCGGUGGAGGGGGCUCGGUCUGCGCCGUGUCCCCGAUGCCGAAUUCCCAAACUCCAGUUGCAAAGAACGUCGUGCGGACUCGGUGCCGCCUAAAACAUG
rnacentral:misc_RNA from 1 species